AUGGCAUCUGGAAGCCGCGGCGACAUGGACGGGAGGCGAUGGUCGGACCUCCCGGCGGACGUGCUCCGUGAGAUAUCCGGCCGCGUGCGCGCCGCCGCCGGCUUCGUCAGCUUUCACGGCGUCUGCAAGCAAUGGCGCGGCUCGCGCGACCCGCUAUCCCGGCGGGCGAGGGCAACCAGGACCCAAUUCCUGCCAUGGCUCCUCGCGCCGCCGGACGAAGAACCCGGCCACUUGAAGUUCAGGUGCGUCUUCUCCAAGGCCAGCUACCGCGUGGUGCCCCCUUCGCCCGUGCCCCGGAGAAACUGGGUGUGCAGGACGGACGGAGCCGGCGUGUGGUAUCUGGCCGUCGACGAACGCCUCCGCCCUAGCCUCCACGACCCUCUCACCGGAGCCGUCGCCCACCUGCCCACCUUCCCGUGGGGAGAGGGGUUUAACCCCUGCGGCGUCAUCUACGACGACGGCACCACAUUCCUGUACAGCUACAAUGGAAGAAGUGGAUGGUUCAGGGCAGCUCUCCUGCGUCCCGGUGAUGCCGAGUGGACGGCCGUCGAGAGGACCCUCGAAGCACCUUUGAUUUGGUACCGUGAGUUCUGCGCCACGUACCACGGUGGCAAGAUCAUGGUGACCGCUGAUGCUAGCCUGUGGCACGUAGUCACACCUGAUGGUGAUGAUGGUGACGACGUGUUGGUACCAAGGCCGCCACCAUGUUUGCCGUCGGAGGAAGAGCCCUCCUGCUCGCGCCGUUACAGCCAUGUCCUCGAGUCCUGCGGCGAGCUUCUGUGGGUGGUUGUGCAGGUCCAGUUGCGCAGUUACACUCCUAAGAGCGGCCUCAGACCCGUGCUCUCGGUGGUUGUGCACGCGCUAGGGGAGGAGACAACGACGUCGCCACCGGAGAAGAAUACACCACGGUGGGUGAGGAAAGACGGCCAUGGCCUGACCGACCGCGUGCUGUUCCUCGGGUGGCCCAACAGCUUCGCAUGGAUGCCUCGCGGCUGUUGGGCGGUAGGGACGUCGACGGCGGGUGUGUCUACUUCGUCUACCGUGAAAAUGCGGACUUGCCACGUGAACGUGAAGAGGUCGGCGUGUUCAGGUACAACCUCGUCGACGACAAGAUCAAGUACUGGUACUACGGUCGUCAAAACAAUCUUGAGAUCAUCGAGCGACUGCCUCAAGGAUUGGACGAGGGGAGGUGCGCGUGGCUACUACCCCAACCUGCUAUUGCUCCAAUUCAGGAACUCAAUGAGAGGGCGUUGA
rnacentral:rRNA from 1 species